rnacentral:lncRNA from 1 species
GCUCUGAUUAGGAAACCAAGUAGUCUCAUCGGGAACACCAUGAAACCUGUUGUGUUGUUCGUAGGAUCCAUCAUAUGAAGUGUAGGUAGGUUGUUCGUAAGGUCGAUCAUAUGAAGUGUAGGUAGGCUGCUCAUAAGAUCGAUCAUAUGAAGUGUAGGUAGGCUGCUCAUAAGAUCGAUCAUAUGAAAUGUAGGUAGGCUGCUCAUAAGAUCGAUCAUAUGAAAUGUAGGUAGGCUGCUCAUAUGAAUGCGUCUCCUCUUCUGCAUUACCAUACCAAGACGAUCGCUGUUUCCAAACAAACAAAAUAGAAGGGGAAUCCCCCAUCCGUCAGUAAGAAUGGCAGCACAGCACUGGAGAGAGUUGAGGAAAAUCCAAAACGGGACGGCGUUC